GAUGAACGCUGGCGGCGUGCCUAACACAUGCAAGUCGAGCGAUUUACUUCGGUAAAGAGCGGCGGACGGGUGAGUAACGCGUGGGUAACCUGCCCUGUACACACGGAUAACAUACCGAAAGGUAUGCUAAUACGAGAUAACAUACUUUUAUCGCAUGGUAGAAGUAUCAAAGCUUUUGCGGUACAGGAUGGACCCGCGUCUGAUUAGCUAGUUGGUAAGGUAACGGCUUACCAAGGCGACGAUCAGUAGCCGACCUGAAAGGGUGAUCGGCCACAUUGGAACUGAGACACGGUCCAAACUCCUACGGGAGGCAGCAGUGGGGAAUAUUGCACAAUGGGCGAAAGCCUGAUGCAGCAACGCCGCGUGAGCGAUGAAGGCCUUCGGGUCGUAAAGCUCUGUCCUCAAGGAAGAUAAUGACGGUACUUGAGGAGGAAGCCCCGGCUAACUACGUGCCAGCCGCCGCGGUAA
rnacentral:rRNA from 1 species